ACAACCUGACAGGAAAUGAUUUAAUCAAGACAAGAUAAACGGUCUGAUGAUCCUUGACUUUGAGACAACUGGUGUCAUCCUAUAAGGAAGAUACAUUGGUGUCCUGCGGUGAGGGAGACAACCGUGACUGAUGACUGCCUGUUGUGCCACUGGACAAGAGUCUGGAAGAACGUUAAAAGCUUUUGUGUUCCACGAAAACUUCUGCAGACUUCCGGGAAAUGGGGAACAAAUAAACUUGACGGAGACAAGGACAAGCCAGGCUGGAAAUUCAAGUCCAUUACCACACUGCUGUCUCUUUUUUUUGGAGUGGGUUUUCCUGUUGCCAACAUUAUU